AUACUGUUGAAGAGUCCCAAACUAGGACGAAACAGCUGUCGAGUAC
rnacentral:hammerhead_ribozyme from 1 species